UACAGAGGUGCCAAGCGUUGUUCGGAUUUAUUGGGCGUAAAGGGUGCGUAGGCGGUUGUGUAAGUCGGAUGUGAAAUCCCGGAGCCUAACUCCGGAAUGGCAUUCGAAACUACACAGCUCGAGGUCUGGAGAGGUGACUGGAAUUCUCGGUGUAGCAGUGAAAUGCGUAGAUAUCGAGAGGAACACCAGAGGCGAAAGCGAGUCACUGGACAGAACCUGACGCUGAUGCACGAAAGCCAGGGGAGCAAACGGG
rnacentral:rRNA from 1 species